AGCGAACGCUGGCGGCAGGCCUAACACAUGCAAGUCGAACGAACCUUUCGGGGUUAGUGGCGGACGGGUGAGUAACACGUGGGAACGUGCCUUUAGGUUCGGAAUAACUCAGGGAAACUUGUGCUAAUACCGAAUGUGCCCUUCGGGGGAAAGAUUAAUCGCCUUUAGAGCGGCCCGCGUCUGAUUAGCUAGUUGGUUGAGGUAAUGGCUCACCAAGGCGACGAUCAGUAGCUGGUCUGAGAGGAUGAUCAGCCACAUUGGGACUGAGACACGGCCCAAACUCCUACGGGAGGCAGCAGUGGGGAAUCUUGCGCAAUGGGCGAAAGCCUGACGCAGCCAUGCGCGUGAAUGAUGAAGGUCUUAGGAUUGUAAAAUUCUUUCACCGGGGACGAUAAUGACGGUACCCGGAGAAGAAGCCCCGGCUAACUUCGUG
rnacentral:rRNA from 1 species